GUGAACGGCAACGCCCACCGCAAGCGUGAUGACCGCCGCCAAGAGGGCAAAGCCCCUCCGCAAGACGAGCUGCGUGGCGGAGAGCCACUUCCCCGCUUUGUCCUUGGCCUCCCGAUCCUGACUCUUUGAAGCUUCCUGGCCGUCCACCUGCAACACGUCAAUAUUCACCAAAGCUGGCAAUCACUCUGCGAACAUCACGCAAGCGUCCACUCACCGAGCAGUCGCACAGCGUCACUUCGUUCGGCACCAGAACUUUCUUCCCAGCUCGCUCCUCAGCCUGACCAAAAGAUCAUCAAAAUCUAUUUAUGUUGCUAUCAUAUAUUUAAUACAGAGUAGUGGUUUAACAAUAAAAUGAAUGCGAAUGAAUAAAUAUUUUACUUUUCAUUGGUCUCUGGGGCUCAAAUGAUUUUGCACGAUGAAACCUUCCAAGCAAACAAGUGACCAAGCAAACAUGACUAGAGAAUUAAGUCUUUCAUAUUUAAUACAGAGUCGUGAUUCAGUAGCAAAAUCAAUGUGUGUGGAUACAAUUGACUCAUUUGGCCCGCAGAGCACAAUUGAUUGUUCCCCAUGACUUAUACCUGGCAACAAAUAACCAAGCAAACGUGAUGUGACCAAGGAAUUCUGUGGAUAUAUUAUAUUUAAUUUGGCGUAGUGAUUCAUUCAUGUGCAUUCAUCGUGAUUCAUUCAUUCAUGUUUAUUAAUUUGUGCAGAGACACCUGUUUCAUUUCGGCUUGUGGGGCACAAAUGAUUGUGCCCCAUGAAAUUUGCCUAGCAACAAAGGACCAAGCAAACAUCUGACGUGACCAGUUGAGCUUGAAAAUAAGAAUGAGGAAGAAAGACGCCUCAAGGCAUACACACGUCAGGAGACCCAGCCACAAGCCUGGCGGGCGGCAAACAUGAGGGCGACCCCUAUUGGCAGGCCGAUGCAGUAGUAGCUCACCAGGUUGGACGCAGCGGCGAUCUUCUGCAUUCCGCAGCCGACCAGAAUUCCGGAGCACACGCACUGAGCGGCAAUACAGGGGACCAGCGCUACUUUACAUGAGAGGAUGGCUCUGGCGGUGUCUCCUGCUCCCAGGGCGUUGCCCACACGAACGCAGGCAGCUGUUUGGAUGCCCAGCGGAAACUGCAGGGAUCCCCGACGAGGUUUAUUAGCACGAUCCUCAAUUGAAUGCUGAGAUGUUAAGUAAGGAAGGGGUAGGUACCAACCAACCAUGUACGUAAUGGCUGAUAUCUCCACCAUCACGUGCUGGGCCGCAAGAUCCGCCUCGCCCAGAACACCUGGCGACAGAAAGUUCACGCCAAAUGAUCGACUGAUUUAUGACAUUAUUAAACCUGAUAUGGUAAUUUUGACUGAUUUAUGACAUUAUAAAACCAAAAAUGCCAUGAUAUUUCAUGGUUCACUGUUCAUGGAUUCAUGACAUUAUGGAAGUUAUGAUGCUUAUUCAGUAUCACAAUCAAAUACAAUAUAUUUUUAUGAUGUGUGACAUAAGUAUCCAAACAAAAUUUUCUCUUUAUAUCGACAUUAUGAAACCUGAUAAAGUAUCAUAAACAAAAAGGAUAUUUGGACACUAGGGAAACUGUUAUGCUAAAUUUCGAGUAAUUUGUGACAUUAUGAAACCAAUAUUGUACUUUUACGUACAGUGUCUACCUACAGUGUCAGCUUUGUUCAAUUGUGACUGAUUUGUGACAUUAUGGAAGCCGAUCUGUUCAAUUCUGAGUCAUUCAUGGCAUUGUGAAACCAGAUUUGGCACUUAUAUAGAAUUAAGAAACAAAAUUAUAUCUCUGUUCAAUUUUCACCCAUUUAUGGCGUUAUAUGACUAACAAAAUGAUAUCACUUUGUUCAUUUUUGACUGAUUUAUGGCAUUAUUAAACCUGAUAUGGUACUCGAACAUAUACAGUAUAAUAAACAAUGAUCUAGCCUUUCUUAACAUUGAAUGAUUUAUGACAUUAUGAAACUUGAUAUAGUGUUUCUACAGUCUUAAAAAAUACAUCUCUUAAUUUUGAGUGAUUUGUGACCUUAUGAAACUAAAUUGUAUUACUUAUGCAA